rnacentral:rRNA from 1 species
AGGUUUCCGUAGGUGAACNUGCGGAAGGAUCAUUA